UUACGGCCAUAUCCAAUUGAAACACCUAUUCUCGAAGGAUCACCGAAGCUAUGCAACGUCGGGCCUAGAUGGUAUCGAGAUGGGUGACCUCUUGGGAAUACCAGGUGCUGUAA